rnacentral:rRNA from 1 species
AGAGUUUGAUCCUGGCUCAGAACGAACGCUGGCGGCAGGCCUAACACAUGCAAGUCGAACGUGAAGCAUCCCUUCGGGGAUGUGGAAAGUGGCAGACGGGUGAGUAACGCGUGGGAACGUGCCCUUCGGUACGGAAUAGCUCCUGGAAACGGGAAUUAAUACCGUAUACGCCGGAAACGGGAAAGAUUUAUCGCCGAAGGAUCGGCCCGCGUCGGAUUAGCUUGUUGGUGGGGUAAUGGCCUACCAAGGCGACGAUCCGUAGCUGGUCUGAGAGGACGAUCAGCCACACUGGGACUGAGACACGGCCCAGACACCUACGGGUGGCAGC